rnacentral:rRNA from 1 species
AGAGUUUGAUCCUGGCUCAGGAUGAACGCUGGCGGCAGGCCUAACACAUGAAAGUCGAACGCUCUAGCAAUAGGGAGUGGCGCACGGGUGAGGAACGCGUGGGAACGUACCCUUUAGUACGGAAUAACAGUGGGAAACUGCUGCUAAUACCGUAUACGCCCUUCGGGGGAAAGAUUUAUCGCUAAAGGAUCGGCCCGCGUGAGAUUAGGUAGUUGGUGGGGUAAUGGCCUACCAAGCCUACGAUCUCUAGCUGGUCUGAGAGGAUGAUCAGCCACACUGGAACUGAGACACGGUCCAGACUCCUACGGGAGGCAGCAGUGAGGAAUAUUGGACAAUGGGCGAAAGCCUGAUCCAGCCAUGCCGCGUGAGUGAUGAAGGCCUUAGGGUUGUAAAGCUCUUUCGAUGGUGAAGAUAAUGACGGUAUCCAUAGAAGAAGCCCCGGCUAACUUCGUGCCAGCCGCCGCGGUAAUUC